rnacentral:rRNA from 1 species
GACGUAGGUGGCGAGCGUUUGUUCGGAAUCACUGGGCAUAAAGCGCACGUAGGCGGCCAUGUCAGUCGGGUGUGAAAGCCCUCGGCUCAACCGAGGAACUGCGUCCGAUACUGCAUGGCUUGAGGUCCGGAGGGGAGAGUGGAAUUCCCGGUGGAGCGGUGAAAUGCGUAGAGAUCGGGAAGAACGCCGGCGGCGAAAGCG